CAGGCUGCACUCCCCUCCCCUUGGGAUCGGAAAAGCUUGCCAUCGUCUGCCUGUCUUGGGAAGCCUGUGUCCCUGUUGGGCGUGUGACAUGUGUCUGGUGUGUACUCUGGAUCUGGGAGCCUGCAGGUGGGCGUGGGGACACCGAGUCUGGCUGCGUGUCAGAUAGAGUCUUUAAAAAUAGCCUGGUUUUCAUUUUUUUGGGAAUAUAACCUCCUGUUCCAGUUUAUUAACCAUCAAUUUGUUAACUCUUACCCGAGGCGCUGUGGGAAGUCAAAAAAAAAAAAAAAAAAAAAGCCUUUAUCUUUGAGGAACAAAAUUCUCUUCAGAGGCUUUAGCUGCAAAUCGUAGGAAAAGAGAUUUACCAGGAAUGCAACAUGAUCAGCCAGGGACUUUUUAAGUCUUCAGAGAAUACAACAAUAACCUGAUGGAAGUGGGCUGGGUACAGUCUGUGAAGACUUCAGAGGAGAUGCAUUUCCAAAGGGUUCCUGAGGAGUGGAUGGAUGCUGGGCUUUUAGGAAGGGAGUCCUCAGAGAGGCAGGAGGAGGGGCUGCUGGCUGGCUGUGGGGGUAGGGGUGGGGGGGGUGGGGUGAGGGGUGGGGUAGGGUAUGGCAAAUCUGAGUCCUGGGGUAGGGGGUGGGGGUGAAGAUGGGCAGGCCUCCUGGGUUUGAAUGCUUCCAAAUACUAGAUUUGUUAAUUCCAGUUGAGUUCCUCUCCUAACUAUAAAAAAGUCGUCAAUACUAAAUAAAAAUAAUGUGUAUAAAAAAGCUCUAUAGGGAGUUCCCGUCAUGGCUCAGUGGCUAACGAAUGUGACUCAGAGCCAUGAGGUUGCUGGUUCGAUCCCUGGCUUCGCUCAGUGGGUCAAAGAUCUGGCAUUGCCAUGAGCUGUGGUGUAGGUUGCAGACGUGGCCUUGGAUCCUGGGUUAUUGUGGCUCUGGCGUAGACUGGCGGCUACAGCUCCUAUUAAGACCCCUAGCCUGGGAGCGGCCUUAGAAAUGGCAAAAAGACAAAAAAAAAAAAAAAAAAGCUCUAUAAACUGCAAAAACCCUAUGCAUUUGAAGGAUGACUUUUGGACAACCAGUUUUAGAAAUCACAUUUUUAAGAAUGGCUUUUGUGUACCCUGGGAAGGACACUGAUGUUUACCUACAUGCAGAGCAUGAAACGGUACUAAAAUAACCCAUCUCUGCAGAUCAUUUUAGGAUGAAAUAUAUAUUCCUCCUUUCAGGCCUUUGGGAAUGAAUUUUUGGAAUGAUUAUGAUCCUCUUCUGCUUUUCUACAAAUGUGUAUGAGAAAACUGGAUUACUUCCAGAGAAAGACUGUUGGGCCAGCUUUUUGUUUGGCUUCAAUCUGACUUUGUGUUUUUCUUCGAAGAACAAACAAAUGCACAGGAGCAAGACAGAAAGCUCUAUCAGGACCUUUGCUUCGUCCACUGAGUUUAUAUGUCACUUACCGCAGUGGGGAUCAGAAAUACCCAUCAUCUCCUGCUGCGAUUCGUGUAAUCAAAUUAAUAAAAAUAAAUGUAUUGCUUCCAGCUGAGAUGUACUGUAGAAUAAAGGGGAAAAUUGUGAGCGCUCUGUAACAGGUACCCGUGAGGCCAGUUUCCCUGAGGAAGUAAUUUGAGUCCAGAUGUGAAGUAAGCUGUGGGAUAAACAGGCCUGGAAAACCGAAUAGAGGUAUAUGGAUUAAGAUAAGAAUUAAUUGCUAAAAAUAUGAAGCCACUGUAUAUGAUUUGCCUUUUUAUAAUACUCUGCUCCGGAAGCUUAGAUAAAGCCGCUUCUGUAUCAUCCUUAAUACAGUGCUUUGUCCAACCUGAGAUAUUUUCAGAAAUAAUUCUCUAAGAUUUCAAAUACACCUUCCUAAGACUUGUCUUCAUAAAACCAAAACAGAGUAAUAUAUAAAAGGUACUAAAGUAAGAUUUAGGUGAAUACGUGGAUAAAUCUGUGUGGAGGAGGAAUUUCUAAAGGAUGACACUGAAUCCAGAAGUCCCGAGUUGGAAAUAGAUUGAUGUAUUUGACUAAAACAUUAAACACAUCUGUGCCAUAAAAGUUUGGUACAUUGAAAUGACAUAAUGUGGGGAAAAAAACUACUUGAAAUAUAUUCGGUAGUGAAAAUUUGUAUUUUUAAGGGAAGAAACCUCAUAACCAGAAGAAGGCAACUGCUCCAGGAUAAAGAUGGGAAAAAGUAUGAACAGGGAUUUCUCAAGAGAAGAUGCAUUCAUGACCAGGGAACUGACAGAUUCAUGUUACUCUCACUGAUACUCCAAGAAGUACAAAUUAGAACCAUUUUUCUGCUGUCAGAUUGGAGAAGAUUAAAAAGAUGGCCAUACCGAAUGUUGGGCAGUAUAUGGUAAAUACGGGGUGUGUGUGUGUGUGUGUGUGGAAGCAUGUGUAAACUGAGACGUUUCUUGUGGGAAUGUGCAUAAACACUUAAUAUAUGAGUACCCUGUGGACCAGAAAUUUUACUUCUAAGUAUUUGUUCCAAAAA
ensembl:lncRNA